CCUAAACUGGUGUAAUGGUAUCAUGGCGGGUCGCACUUGGUUCAGUCCAGACUGAACCAAGCUCCUCUGGGGAUCGUCGUUUCGGGUUCGAUUCCCGAGUUUGGGA